ACCUGGCCCAAUACUGACGCUGAGGCACGAAAGCGUGGGGGAGCAAAACAGGAUUAGAUAACCUGGUAGUCCACGCCCUAAACGAUGAAUACUAGAUGUUUGGUGCCAAGCGUACUGAGUGUCGUAGCUAACGCGAUAAGUAUUCCGCCUGGGAAGUACGGCCGCAAGGUUAAAACUCAAAGGAAUUGACGGGGGCCCGCACAAGCGGUGGAGCAUGUGGUUUAAUUCGAUGCAACGCGAAGAACCUUACCUGGGCUUGACAUGUCUGGAAUCCUGCAGAGAUGCGGGAGUGCCCUUCGGGGAAUCAGAACACAGGUGCUGCAUGGCUGUCGUCAGCACGUGUCGUGAGAUGUUGGGUUAAGUCCCGCAACGAGCGCAACCCUUGUCCUUAGUUGCCAGCGGUUCGGCCGGGCACUCUAGGGAGACUGCCGGUGACAAACCGGAGGAAGGUGGGGAUGACGUCAAGUCCUCAUGGCCUUUAUGUCCAGGGCUACACACGUGCUACAAUGGCGCGUACAGAGGGAAGCCAAGCCGCGAGGUGGAGCAGACCCCAGAAAGCGCGUCGUAGUUCGGAUUGCAGUCUGCAACUCGACUGCAUGAAGUCGGAAUCGCUAGUAAUCGCUGGAUCAGCAUACCGCGGUGAAUACGUUCCCGGGC
rnacentral:rRNA from 1 species